UACGUAGGGGGCUAGCGUUGUCCGGAUUUAUUGGGCGUAAAGCGCGCGUAGGCGGCUUUGCAAGUCGGAUGUGAAAUCCCCAGGCUUAACCUGGGAACUGCAUUCGAGACUGCAUUGCUAGAGUAUGGGAGAGGGAAGUGGAAUUUCCGGUGUAGCGGUGAAAUGCGUAGAUAUCGGAAGGAACAUCAGUGGCGAAAGCGACUUCCUGGACCAAUACUGACGCUCAUGUGCGAAAGCGUGGGGAGCAAACAGG
rnacentral:rRNA from 1 species